rnacentral:rRNA from 1 species
AGAGUUUGAUCAUGGCUCAGGAUGAACGUUAGCGGGAGGCUUAAUACAUGCAAGUCGAGCGGUAAGUUUUUAUAGCAAUAUGAAGACCUAGAGCGGCGCACGGGUGAGUAACGCGUACACGACCUGGCCUAAACUGGGGGAUAGCCUUGGGAAACUGAGGGUAAUCCCGCAUGUGAUUAUGUUACUGAUGGUGAUAUAAUUAAAGCUUCGGCGGUUUAGGAUGGGUGUGCGUCUGAUUAGCUAGUUGGUAGUGUAACGGACUACCAAGGCGAUGAUCAGUAGGGGGCGUGAGAGCGUGACCCCCCACACGGGUACUGAGACACGGACCCGACUCCUACGGGAGGCGGCAGUAAGGAAUAUUGGUCAAUGCCCGGAAGGGUGAACCAGCCAUCCCGCGUGAAGGAUGAAGGGGCUCUGCCUUGUAAACUUCUUUUGUAUGGGGCGAAAAAAGGGGAUUUAUCCUCGACUGACGGUACCAUAAGAAUAAGCACCGGCUAACUCCGUGCCAGCAGCCGCGGUAAUACGGAGGGUGCGAACGUUAUCCGGAAUCACUGGGUUUAAAGGGUGCGUAGGCUGUUUAAUAAGUCAGUGGUGAAAGGCCGUCGCUUAACGAUGGGACUGCCAUUGAUACUGUUAGACUUGAAUCAGGUUGAGGUUGGCGGAAUGUGGCAUGUAGCGGUGAAAUGCAUAGAUAUGCCAUGGAAUACCGAUUGCGAAGGCAGCUGACUGGACCUUGAUUGACGCUGAGGCACGAAAGCGUGGGUAGCGAACAGGAUUAGAUACCCCGGUAGU